GACUAACACAUUUUUUCCUACUAAUGUACUGCGAUGUGUAUACACUAUAACUUAAAAUAAGCAAAAUAACCUCAAAUUAUGCCUUGCCAAAGUGCUUGAAAGUUCUGCUGGCAGAUUGUUCAUCUUAUUUUAAGAUGUGUAACUAAAAUUUGAAUGACUAUUACUUAAGAUAAGAAUACGCGUCUAAAAAAAUAUCUUGUUAGUCAAAAAUCUAUUUUUGCAGCUUUUCUGUUCCAAGUUCACAAAGCAACGUCCAUCAAGGCGUGCUUGGAUGAGUCUGGUGAGGAAAAAGUCCAUCAAACACCUUUGGGAUCCAACAUCAGUGACCUAUGACGGUCAGGGAGGCAGGGGAGAAACGUGAGAUGACCGACGCCUAUGAAGCAUUUAUUGUACAUAGUGCCUUCCUACAGCCUGUGUAAUGUCUUUCAGUCCACAGGCUUCCGGAUCAGCUCGUAGUACUCCGGCGCCUCCUUUCUGGAGGGAAGCUGGACAAAGCCUUUGCUGAUCUGUCGACCCACCCUGCAAAGACAAAACACGCUCAGAAGCCAUCGACCACACAACUUGCUCACACAGCCACCAUCAAGGCACGUGACCAUGUCCUCACCCGUCCUUGUAGUUGACCACCAUGUCCACCAGGGUGCUCAUUUGCCGGGUGAGCUCGGGUGGAUUCGGCGGCAGCUUCUCGGCCGGCGGCCGCCCUCGCUUCCGCUUGACCUUUUCUCCAGUUUCCUGCGCCGCCUGGAGCUCCUUGUCUCCGUGCUCGCCUUUACGCUUCUUCUGACCGCCGUCCUCCUCCAUCUCCUCCUUCCCUCCCGCUUGAGGCUGCGGUGAGACCAAACAAACUAACGAGCAACCCCAGGAGAUAACAAGGUCGUUUUAGGGAAACUCAUUUGUGUCUUUGUUAUCCUCAUGCUCAUUGUUAUGCUGCUUAAUGGCAGCUUAAUCACUUAGAAGGUUCCAAAUCAAUCAAAGGACACAAUGCCAUUUCAAAGCACUACUAAGCAUCCAUUCACAUUGCUCUGAGGUUAUCCCUUUGCUGCUCACAGUCACUAGGGGGCAUAUGUGCAAAAUAUCCGCUGAUCAGAUGUAUAAACUAAUGUUCCAUAUUUCAUUGCUUCCAUCAAACAAAUAAAAUGCUUGCACCGUUAAAAAAAAAAAAAAACAACAGUGUUCCAAAUUCAUAAAUAUAAUCCAAGGGUAGAGAAAUUGUAUGGCAAAACAACUACAUCGGCAUCAACUAAUCGGUGACAAAAAAUAAACAAAUAAAUAAUAAAAAAGCUAUGUAAUCAAAGAUUCAUUCAUGAAUUUUCUAUGCCGCUUAAUCCUCAUUAGUCCUUGGUAAUUGUCAUUAGAACCGCUAGCGGUAUGCUGGAGCAUAUCCCAUCUGACUUUGGGCGGGAGGCGGGAUACACCCUGGACUGGUCGCCAGCCAGUUGCACUGCUAAUUAAAGACUCAUUCUUUCAUUUAUUUUUUUCUAUUUACUGUAAUCUCUCACCACUUUGCGCUUCAUAUUUCGUGGCUUUACUAUCACGAUUUUUCAAAAAUAUAUUAAACUGCAACGUUUGAAGCACAAAGUGGCGAGCGAUGUAGUUUUGUGGUUGAGUACAGCCUAUUAGGAAAAAGAAAUGCAUAUUUAAGCGAAUUGUAUAUUUUUGCCUAAAUUAAGCCUUUUGAAGUAUAAAAAUGGCAAAAUGAAGUGAAAUACAAAUAUAAGGCAUUGAGAAGACACACUCAAAG